UGCAGGUCAUUGUGUGAGCCCUGUAGCCACCUAUACUUUCACGAUGGUGGUAUCUCCAGGAUUCCCCUGUAUCAACUGGUACACUGCAUGAGGUUCAUCUAAACAGACUGAAGCUCUACAAUCAGAGAAAGACUGUUCCCUGUUUGGUCCACUGGUGUGAUGGCUGCCUGCCCAGCGAAUGGGGAUUGGCUGGCAUCCUACAGUGCAAAUCCUAAGUCCUAGAGGGUCUCCAGAAAGAAUAGGAAAGCAGGUAACCUGCUGAACAGAACAGAAAAUACCUCUCAGACCUGACAAAUAAAACUGGAAAAUUGCAGCUUUGUGGGGCUGGGCCAUAAUAUUACUUAGUUUCAACAUUCAAAAGAUCCCCAACCACCAUGCCUUUACAUAACUGUGGUGAAAAGAAGAGAAUAGUAAAAUAAAUAUUUAUUUGAUUACAGUGA